rnacentral:rRNA from 1 species
AUACAUGCUUACACCAUAGCAUUAAUGCACUGGAUCCCAUUAGAACUAUGCAUUUAAGCGUGUUCGGGCUAGAGUAGUACUGGGAUGGGUGAUCGCCUGAGAAGUCCUAGUGUUUUACAUG